UCUCCGUAGGUGAACCUGCGGAGGGAUCAUUACCGAGUGAGGGCGCCCGCCGCCCGACCUCCCAACCCUUUGAUCGGAUCACGACCGCCUCCUGCCUCGUGGCGGACCCGGCCCUCGCGCGCCGCGGUCCCCCCGGCGGUACACCACACAACUCUGCAUCAAUUGUCGUCGGAGUAAAAAGUUUAAUACAAUCAAAACUUUCAACAACGGAUCUCUUGGUUCUG
rnacentral:misc_RNA from 1 species